CUAGAAACACAAGCAUUUAGCUAGGUAUUACUGUUGGAGCUAGAAACACAAGCAUUUAGCUAGGUAUUACUGUUGGAGCCAGAAACACAAGCAUUUAGCUAGGUAUUACUGUUGGAGCUAGAAACACAAGCAUUUAGCUAGGUAUUACUGUUGGAGCUAGAAACACAAGCAUUUAGCUAGGUAUUACUGUUGGAGCCAGAAACACAAGCAUUUAGCUAGGUAUUACUGUUGGAGCUAGAAACACAAGCAUUUAGCUAGGUAUUACUGUUGGAGCUAGAAACACAAGCAUUUAGCUAGGUAUUACUGUUGGAGCUAGAAACACAAGCAUUUAGCUAGGUAUUACUGUUGGAGCUAGAAACACAAGCAUUUAGCAAGGUAUUACUGUUGGAGCUAGAAACACAAGCAUUUAGCUAGGUAUUACUGUUGGAGCCAGAAACA